GUAGGAUUUGAUUAAAUUGUCAACCCCCCCUCCCCCCACUCAAUAACUCUCCCUCCAACUGCCCAAAACAAAGGCAAAAUUUGAUUUUUCACCUUCUUCAUCCUCUCUAACGCUCUCCCCUAUUCUUAACCAUCUGCAAAACCCUAACUAAUGCAUGAUUUCGACAAAUUCCCGGCAUAUUAACGCUUCUUGAUUGAUAGAGAAGCGCUGACAACCUUUGACCGAGGAAUUCAAAACAACCAGACUUCAACAGUGCAAGCAUCAGAUGAAUCAUCUAAAUCUCCAGAGAUCAAACUUCUUGAAGAAGUCCUAGCUCUUUGCGAGAGAUUAGUGUUGCAAGAAGCGCCAAGUGCACAGAUUAAGCUAUCUCUGGAACUUAUGGUUCAAGUUCGUUUAUUGGGAAAUAAUGAUCCUGUUGUAUGGGAGGACUUAUUCGUUGCCUGCCAGACAUGUGCUGUUGAACUAGCCAACAGAAGAUCAUCUCUUCCUCCUUUAAUGAUCUCUGAUAUAUCCCAACAAGUGUCUAAAGUUUUCCAGCAAUGAGAUCUUUUAAAGAAGAAAGACCUGGGGUUAGAUGUGGAGAUGUACCACUUGCGAUCCGAGAUCGAUGAGCUUAUGGAAGAAGAGAAGAAACUUCAGGCCAAAACAAAAGCUCCUGGAUCGAAGAAGAGAGAAGAAAUAAUUGAAGGGCCAGAUAUCUAAGAGUGCUUCAAUGGUUCAAGAAACUUUGUCUCAGUUUGAUCGUCACGGUAUUCAAAUGGCGUUGAUGAACAAAUGCAAGGUUCUUCUGGAUGAGGUUAAACGCAAAGCAAUGGCUUAAAAGUCCCUUCGUUUGUAAACAAUAUAUUUCAUUUAUUAUCAAAAUCCUCUAAUGAUGGAUGCUUUUGUUGUAAAUUCUCAUAUUGUUCCCAUAUAUUUGGGUUGUACUACUUUAAGAACUUUCCAUUAAGUGCCCUUGGAAACAUUUCCCCAUCUAACUCUUGUAGUAAAUAGGCAUUCCCAGACAUGACUUUGUGAACAAUGGAUGAACCAUCCCAUUUGAAAGAACAUUUACAAAAGAAUUUAUGUUUUA